UGAAACCCACUUAGUGUUUCGUACUUCAAAUCAUUUUUUUGAGUGCAUUUUUCGCCAAGCUGACAGUCAAAUUGUACUCGCAUAUUCAUUCAUCAUGUGUUCAGCUUAUAUUCUGCCUAGGAUUCUAUUACUCUUACAUUCUGCUAAGUUCCAGUGAAAUUUAGGUCUUACCAUAAAAGGGCGUUGGAGGAGCUUCUAUCAACAUGCUCUGGGCAACUCAUUAUUUAUAUUCAUUAUAAAGCAGUUAUGCUCUCAGUUGCACUGUGUAUACUGAAUUGUGUUAUGGUACUAGAGAGUCAGAGGCCAUUAAAGCUCCAGAAUUUGCCACAAACAGUCCAUGGAUCGCUAGCUUUUCAGUGCUAUUCUGGCAACUUUACAUGAGGUACAACUAUGGGAGGAAAGGCAAGUACAUUGCAAGGGAAUGCAAGAACAAGAUGGGUAAGAAGGAGGAUAAUGUUGAUAUGGUGCCCUUCUCUUAGGAAUUACCUGCAGAUGUGGAUAAGGUGGAGCUGCAAGUGAUGGUUACAGACCUAGAAGUGAAAAUAGAAGACAAUAGGCAGCGAUACAACCAAAUGGGUGACUCCUUUUGUUCAUUGUACGCCAUGAGCGAUGGAAUUAUGAGAAAGGAGGCUAUGGUGUUCAUUUUUGGGCAAAGAAGGAUGAAAAAGAAGGCCAGGAGGCUACUGAAUGAGGGGAAACUGGACAAGGAGAACGAGAAGAAGGAGACCACUCCUGCAAAGAACUGGAUUGACCAUGUGCAGAGGCUGGAGCACAAUUGAAAUCUUAUUAAGAAUAAUUAAGCAAUUUACUCUCUGUUUUUGGUUUUUGAUUAUGUCUACUAUAGUUAGUAGUAGGUUUUUUAUGCAUUAUUUAAGGAAUAAGCUUGCGUUUAAGUUUUUAAACUCUU